rnacentral:piRNA from 1 species
UGGGUUACCUCACUCAGGAUGGUAUUUU